AUUGAACGCUGGCGGCAGGCCUAACACAUGCAAGUCGAGCGAGCGGCGGACGGGUGAGUCAUGUCUGGGAAACUGCCUGAUGGAGGGGGAUAACUCCUGGAAACGGUAGCUAAUACCGCAUACCAUCAGCUGUGCCCAGAUGGGAUUAGCUAGAAGGUGGGGUAACGGCUCACCUAGGCGACGCUCCCUCGCUGGUCUGAGAGGAUGACCAGCCACACUGGGACUGAGACACGGUCCAGACUCCUACGGGAGGCAGCAGUGGGGAAUAUUGCACAAUGGGCGCAAGCCUGAUGCAGCCAUGCCGCGUGUAUGAAGAAGGCCUUCGGGUUGUAAAGUACUUUCAGCGGGGAGGCGUGACCCGCAGAAGAAGCACCGGCUAACUCCGUGCCAGCAGCCGCGGUAAUUC
rnacentral:rRNA from 1 species